UGUGAAAAAAUCACAACGUUAUUAAAAUAAACCUAUAUUAAUUAUAUUAAUAUAAAUUAACAUGAACCUUACGUUAUACGGAUUAUUACCGUGAGUAAUAUUAUCUUGAUUAAAAGAAAGUAUUUCCUGUUGCGUGCACAAUUUUCUAACAAACUGCGCACGAAUACUAUGAAAGUACAUUAAAAUUCCAGGAUAUUAGAAAAAACCUAUGAAAUGUAAAAAAAAUUCCUGAAUGAAAUAAAAAGUAAUUCUAAUAAA